rnacentral:tRNA from 1 species
AUUUAAAUAGCUUAUAAAGAGCAUAGUAUUGAAGAUACUAGGGAAACUUCAUGUUUUUAAGUA